rnacentral:tRNA from 1 species
UCUAAUAUGGCAGAUAAGUGCAAUGGAUUUAAGCUCCAUAUAUAAAGAUUACUCUUUUGUUAGAA